GUCGGUAUCAUCUAGUGGUUAGGAUCUCACGUUGUGGCCGUGAAAACCUGGGCUCGACUCCCAGUACCGACA
rnacentral:tRNA from 1 species